CUGAUACCACUGAAGGAAAAUAGUGAUUAAAAAGGGCAGCGGAAUUUAAAAUUUUCCUUUGUUGAUCCUUACGAAUGAGCAUGAUUCGUGUUAAGAACUUUUACCUCUUGUGAAGGAUGAGAUUUGAUUCACAAUCAAAAUUGAUCAUGAGCGUUGAAGAUGAACGGCAACGCCUCUAGCUAGUCCACACGAACAACAACCUUCAAGAAGAGUGCUAGCUCCAAGGAUGAAGGUUUUUAGUGAGAGGUGGGN
rnacentral:lncRNA from 1 species